UUUCAGUUUGUUUCUUCAGGACAGAUUGGUCGGCUAUCAAUUACGACCCUACCCAUACUUUUUCCGUUUGAUUCCGACAACUUUCAGUUUUUUCCGGCGACUUUAUUGACUUUUCCGGCAGCUACAGUACUUUCCGGCCAGAAUUUCUUCAGGACAGUUUGCUCAACCUUGAAUUCCGAGCCUAUUCAUAUUUUUAUUUUUCAAUUCCGACAACUUUGAAUUUUUCCGGCAGCUACAGUGUUCCAGUUUUCCGGCAGCGCUUGAAUUCCGAGCCUAUCCAUAUUUUUACUUUUCAAUUCCGACAACUUUGAAUUUUUCCGGCAGCUACAGUGCUUUUCCGGCAACUACAGUGUUCAUGU
rnacentral:lncRNA from 1 species